rnacentral:rRNA from 1 species
ACAAAAUCGGAGGAAGUGGGGAUGACGUCAAAUCAUCAUGCCCUUUAUGUCCUGGGCUACACACGUGCUACAAUGGUCGGUACAACGAGAAGCAAGCCAGCGAUGGCAAGCAAAUCUCUAAAAAGCCGAUCCCAGUUCGGAUUGCAGGCUGCAACUCGCCUGCAUGAAGUCGGAGUUGCUAGUAAUCGCGGAUCAGAAUGCCGCGGUGAAUGCGUUCCCGGGUCUU